UACGUACUGUGCGAACGUUAUUCGGAAUCACUGGGCUUAAAGGGUGCGUAGGCGGCCGAUUAAGUAGGGUGUGAAAUGCCUCGGCUCAACCGAGGAAUGGCGCUCUAAACUGGUCGGCUUGAGUGAGAUAGGGGUGUGCGGAACUUCCAGUGGAGCGGUGAAAUGUGUUGAUAUUGGAAGGAACGCCGGUAGCGAAAGCGGCACACUGGGUCUCAACUGACGCUGAGGCACGAAAGCCGGGGUAGCGAACGGGAUUAGAACCUCCGGUAGU
rnacentral:rRNA from 1 species